rnacentral:rRNA from 1 species
UACGAAGGGUGCAAACGUUGCUCGGAAUUAUUGGGCGUAAAGCGCACGUAGGCGGCUUUGCAAGUCGGAUGUGAAAUCCCUCGGCUUAACCAAGGAAGUGCAUCCGAAACUGCAGAGCUUGAGUACUUAAGAGGAUCGCGGAAUUCCCGGUGUAGAGGUGAAAUUCGUAGAUAUCAGGAGGAACACCGGUGGCGAAGGCGGGUCUCUGGGCCGAUACUGACGCUGAGGAGCGAAAGCGUGGGGAGCGAACAGG